ACUUUUUUAGUAUUAAGCAUUUAAUAAACAGCAAUAAAACACUUCUGAAAACGCUUUACUGCAAACAUGACAUUAUUCAUUUCUAUUGCACAGGCAUUUGUUUAAAUCUUAGACAUAUAAAAAUUUUAUGUCUCUUUAUUUAAUUGAAAUUUAGAAAUAAUGGAAAAGCCUGAUAGUUAACUAUUGUUACAUACGUACAUACAUAAAAUAAUAAUAUUUUAACAUAUAAAAUGCGAAAGUAAUUAUUAUUUUUAAGUCGAAAAAUACACCCUGUGGUAACGUCGUGUGUGUGGGGAGCAGUCACGACCGUUUCCUCCCUAAUAAUUCCCUUAUUUUCCAUUUAUUGGGCUCUAUUGUUUAAUACUGCUAUUGCACUUAAGGCUAAAGUUAAUCAAAUGGUAGGUCAAUAUAGGCAUCCAUUGAACUGUCUUUCAAAAACUCAGAAGACACGUCAAAGAAGAAGAAAAAAAAAGAAAUAUCCCAGGGGGCGAAAAAAGGAUACAAUAGGAUCCAGGAGGUUGUCUAUUUAGAGAAAUGCACAAUAAAGUCUUAAACAGUCAAA